rnacentral:rRNA from 1 species
AUUGAACGCUGGCGGCAGGCCUAACACAUGCAAGUCGAGCGGAUGAAGGGAGCUUGCUCCUGGAUUCAGCGGCGGACGGGUGAGUAAUGCCUAGGAAUCUGCCUGGUAGUGGGGGAUAACGUCCGGAAACGGGCGCUAAUACCGCAUACGUCCUGAGGGAGAAAGUGGGGGAUCUUCGGACCUCACGCUAUCAGAUGAGCCUAGGUCGGAUUAGCUAGUCGGUGGGGUAAAGGCCUACCAAGGCGACGAUCCGUAACUGGUCUGAGAGGAUGAUCAGUCACACUGGAACUGAGACACGGUCCAGACUCCUACGGGAGGCAGCAGUGGGGAAUAUUGGACAAUGGGCGAAAGCCUGAUCCAGCCAUGCCGCGUGUGUGAGGAAGGUCUUCGGAUUGUAAAGCACUUUAAGUUGGGAGGAAGGGCAGUAAGUUAAUACCUUGCUGUUUUGACGUUACCAACAGAAUAAGCACCGGCUAACUUCGUG